rnacentral:misc_RNA from 1 species
GAAACACUAUCAGCCAAAGAUUAUAAUGGCAGAGAAGCAUGACAAAUAGCUAAAAAGCAAAAAUGCUAACUAGCAGCAGUUAUUCUUAAAUAGCAUUAUAGCAUAAUUGCGGAUCAAAAUAGAGCAGAGGUGUACUUCAUUGUUCCAUUGAAAUCAAAGUUAUAACAUGGGAACUGGGAUUGCAUCAUGCAAAACCUAUGUUGUCACAAAACUUUGAAAAGCCAAUGAUCACACUUUUUGUCUAUGAUAAGAAAAGCCAGCCUAGAGCACACAAUGGGAUUUUUACUUGUAAACCCCAUGGAACUUAGGCACCCCUUCUAUUCCA